GUCUCAGUGUCUGGUCUCAGUGUCUGGUCUCAAUGUGUAGGUCUCAAUGUCUGGUCUCAGUGUGUAGGUCUGAGUGUCUGGUCUCAGUGUCUGGUCUCAAUGUGUAGGUCUCAGUGUGCAGGUCUCAGUGUGUAGGUCUCAGUGUCUGGUCUCAGUGUCUGGUCUCAAUGUGUAGGUCUUAGUGUGUAGGUCUCAGUGUCUGGUCUCAGUGUGUAGGUCUCAGUGUCUGGUCUCAGUGUCUGGGCUCAGUGUCUGGUCUCAGUGUGCAGGUCUCAGUAUCUGGUCUCAGUGUGUAGGUCUCAAUGUCUGGUCUCAGUGUGUAGGUCUUAGUGUG
rnacentral:lncRNA from 1 species